CCAAGAAAGAUUUAGGAAAUACAAAUGUCAUGAAUUUUAAGCGCUCCAUUUUAUCGGUACUUCAAACGAAUUUGGUGCGUGACAAAGAAAAUGUCAUAGAGACGGACGUCAUGGGGAAACACAACUCACGCUACAUGUCAACAGAGCUGCAGUUUGGGGAAAUAGAAAUUAAGAAGCAUUUUUCCUCCAAGGACAUCUACGUGGAGGAUAAUA